GGGCUUGUAGCUCAGGUGGUUAGAGCGCUACACUGAUAAUGUAGAGGUCCGUGGUUCGAGU
rfam:Globodera pallida, Lindley, WGS project CBXT01000000 data, contig: pathogens_Gpal_scaffold_2087_contig_5